GAUGAAGAACGUAGUGAAAUGCGAUAAGUAAUGCGAAUUGCAGAAUUCAGUGAGUCAUCGAAUCUUUGAACGCACAUUGCGCCCUGUGGUAUUCCGCAGGGCAUGCCUGUUCGAGCGUCAUUUCAACCCUCAAGCUCUGCUUGGUGCUGGGCCCUGCCCGCUGCGGCCGGCCCUAAAGACAGUGGCGGUGCCGCCUGGCCCUGAGCGUAGUACAUCUCUCGCUCCAGUGCCCGGUGGUAGCCUGCCAGAACCCCAACUCUCGUGGUUGACCUCGGAUCAGGUAGGGAUACCCGCUGAACUUAAGCAUAUCAAUAAGCGGAGGA
rnacentral:misc_RNA from 1 species